rnacentral:rRNA from 1 species
AUUGAACGCUGGCGGCAGGCCUAACACAUGCAAGUCGAGCGGAUGAAGGGAGCUUGCUCCUGGAUUCAGCGGCGGACGGGUGAGUAAUGCCUAGGAAUCUGCCUGGUAGUGGGGGAUAACGUCCGGAAACGGGCGCUAAUACCGCAUACGUCCUGAGGGAGAAAGUGGGGGAUCUUCGGACCUCACGCUAUCAGAUGAGCCUAGGUCGGAUUAUCUAGUUGGUGGGGUAAAGGCCUACCAAGGCGACGAUCCGUAACUGGUCUGAGAGGAUGAUCAGUCACACUGGAACUGAGCCACGGUCCAGACUCCUACGGGAGGCAGCAGUGGGGAAUAUUGGACAAUGGGCGAAAGCCUGAUCCAGCCAUGCCGCGUGUGUGAAGAAGGUCUUCGGAUUGUAAAGCACUUUAAGUUGGGAGGAAGGGCAGUAAGUUAAUACCUUGCUGUUUUGACGUUACCAACAGAAUAAGCACCGGCUAACUUCGUG